rnacentral:rRNA from 1 species
GACAGAGGCCCCAAGCGUUAGGCGGAAUCACUGGGCUUAAAGCGUGUGUAGGCGGAUCGUUAAGUGUCUUGUGAAAUCCCACGGCUCACCCGUGGAACUGCUGGGCAUACUGGCGAUCUUGGGCCAACUAGGGGCAGUCGGAACAAGCGGUGGAGCGGUGAAAUGCGUAGAUAUCGCUUGGAACGCCGAAGGUGAAAACAGACUGCUGGGGUUGCGCCGACGCUGAGACACGAAAGCCAGGGGAGCAAAUGGG